rnacentral:lncRNA from 1 species
AUGGACAUCCCCAGCCUCUGCGUCGGCCUGUCCUCCCUUCAGAACCACUACGUCGAUACCUCGGUUCUGCAGGCGGACGCCGAGUACAGCGUCCAGCUGACGGGGAGCGACGGGUACUACCAGCAGCACCAGUACGUGGACGGCGUGGUUCUGCCCACCGCCGAUCGAUACGGCGCGGAUAUCGGCGGCCAUCUCCCCCUUCUGACCCCCUCCACCUUCCCUCUGCCCGGCGCCCAGCUCUCUCCGGAGGCAGACUAUUAUAACGGAAUGGCUUCGUCCUCGUCUCCAGACUCAUUCCAGAUCUCCAGCCCAGUGGAGCACAACAGUUACUCGCCGCAGCAUUCCUCUUACUCGUCCUCCUCUUCCUCCUCUUACGACUCGCCGACCCGAGUGGAGCCCGGGUACCAGGGGUUCCCCGCCCUGGACCACUCUAACUACCAGCACUGCAGCUUUGCAGACUGCUACUGCCAGAUGCAGGCGCACUGCUGGCCGGCCCCGCAGGAGAGCCUUUGGGCGGCCGCGGAGUCCGCUUCCUACUACGGCCCCGCUGGCCCCGCCACCGGCACCACAGACUACCCCUACCCCGCAGAACAACACUGUCUGAAGAGGGGCUGGCCCAUGAGUUCAGACAUGUGCUACAAUAUACUCUGAUGAUGUGGAUCUUGAUGAUGUCUGUAAAUACAAUGCACUGCACGUGUUGUGGAAGAGCAGAAGACUGUGUCUGCAUAUUACCUGGUGUUCGACAGCUUUUUUCUACCAAAGUGUGGACUGACACAGUGAUGUGGGAACGUAAACGCCGUUUUUAUUUUUGUAUUACUGGAAAAUAAAACAUAUUUUUUAUACAGAUCCAAAGUUGUGUUAAUAUUUAAAAUCUGCAAACCAGCAUUUAUUUGAACAUAAAAUAUUUCAGAAGGCAAGCAAUAUUUUUUUCAAAAGUCCAUAGUCUAGCUUACUAUUAGGUAGUUCCUAUAUUUCCAUCCCUUUUCAAGAAGAAAAUAUAUUUUGGCUUUGUCUACUAACUAAUGAGAUGCAAUGGUUUAUUUGAUCAUAAACUCUCAGCCCCUCUUUUAUAGUGGGAACAGUUGGCUGAUAUCCCAUCUGCCAAACCGUCCGGUUCUUAAAUCAACACAGAUUAUCACCUCCAGCUGCCUGGACCUCGUCUUAUACUUUCUACAGUUGGACUCGACGGGGUCUAUCAAUUAUUUCCCUCUAGAACAAUCAAAAAAAAUAAAAAACGAAUUGUGGUUGAUUUGUGAUUUUAAUUUUUACAACCUGAAAAAAGUUAUAAUAAAAAAUAGGUCUGGGCCCUGCCCUGCUUCAAGAAGCAGCUAAGAAUAUCAUUAUAUACUCUAAUAUAUAGGCCUGGGCCCUGCCCUGCUUCAGGUAGCAGCUAAGAAUAUCAUUAUAUACUCAUAUACUCAGCAUAUUAAUGGCUAUAUAUAUUUAAAUAUUAUAUAUAGGCUAUUUACCGGUAAUAUGAUAUAGGCCUAAUACAACAAACUUAUCUAUGAAAGUCGAUGAGAACUGUAAACGUUAUCGGAUUUUUUAUCCAGAAAAACCGCAGCUCCCCUGUUUACUUGACUGGUUUUGCAAACCAGUCUUUGCCUCAGCGGGUCGAAGCUCAGUGCGACGUCUCUGUACAUGUGUCUAGGCACAUGUACGCUGGACCUUUAUAGAAAGAGCCGUUUCUAGGUUCAGCGUGCAGCAUUUAAGCAUCUAGCGGUAAGGUUGCAUAUUGCAACCAAGUGAUUACCCUCACUCCUCGAUUGAAAAAAGAGUAGGCCUACCUGUACCGGAAUAUGUUAUGCGAUUAAUCAGCCUAACCAAUCACGUUCGGGUAUCUUUGUCAUAGUCACCACGGAGACUGUACAUGUUUUUAUCCUAUUUACGUUUCACAACGUAGUGUUCUUAUAUUAUUGCAUGCAUAGUGGACACAACAUUCAUAAACCUGUAAUUAUCACUAUCUGUCAGAUGCAUUGAUCCUUCAUCUCGAUAGACCUCGAUAGAAGCCAAUGUUUCCCUGUUACUGCGGUGCGUGAAUAUAGGUUACUCUUGCAUUAGGGUUUGCAGUAUUAUGAAUGUUUCCAUUUGGAUACCAUCUUUCACAGAGAGUGAUACUACUUUUAGUUAUCAAUAGGGAAGCAUCCUAAAAAACUAAAAUCUCCAAAACAUGGAGAUAUUAAAGCGGACAUAUUAUUACUAAUGGCUUAUUCCUGGCCCUUCCACUUGUUCCACGUGUUAACCAUGAGAAAAUAAACAUCUGAUAUCUGGAAGUCCCCUGUCUUUCUAGAGUUUUGUUCCAAACAGGUUUAUUAGAACAGGCCUUCUUGAAAAGCGAUUUUAAAUGAG